rnacentral:misc_RNA from 1 species
CACCGCUGCAAGAGGGGAAGUUGCUACUGUGAUGAAUUCUGCCAUGUGGCACCAGACUGCCACCCAGACCACAGUGUCCUCUGCAACCCUGGUCAAAGGUGCCUACAUGCUCCUUCUAGCUUUGUUUCCCUGAUGUUCCUUGCCACCUGCUACUCCUCUCUGAGCUACUUUUCCAGGUUCCACAGGGAGAGGUUCAGCUGUCCGUGGUAGACAUGAGGGUAGAGAAUGAGGUGGUUGGGUUCCACUUACCUUUCUAUCAUCUUGCAGUAUGGAUGUCUCUUGACUGGUACCGUGUAGACUUUUGAGGGCACACAGGAGUCUGCAGAGAGAUACUGGGGACAUUGAGCAGCAGCAGUGGGGUUGGGAGGCAGAAAUGAGGACAGGAACAUUUACCUUGUGUUUCUCUCAGCUUCUCAGAUGACCAAGAUGGUGCUGCAGAUGGUGCUGAGGAUGGAGAACCCACCAAGCCCCGCUAGGAGCCACCUAGACUGGAUGCAGAGCAUGGUUCAGCGAGUUCUCCAAACCAGCCUCCCAGGAAUGCCAUUCACCAUGGCUGUGAGGAGAAUAAAGAAGAGAGCCUGACUCCUCUCCUGAGGCCCCUUCCCCACCCUGAGCCAGCAGGAUCCACGGAGCAGAGGUCAUCUGUCCCCAGCUUGGCCCACUGAGGCCAGCAUGGCUGGGCCCAGGAUGCUUGUCUCUCAGCUCCCAUCCUGUGUACUUCCACAUUGGUUU